GUGAAUCAUCAAAUUUUUGAACGCAAAUUGCACUUUCUGGUAUUCCGGAGAGUAUGCCUGUUUGAGGGUCAGUUUAUUAAAAAUCGGUGUUGCUGGUGCUCUUCCUGGUGACGCGACGGAAUUUAGUUGUCUUACCUUCGGUUAAGUGACUUAAAAUUUUGUAUUGUUUUUGUACGUAUUUAUAUUUCUUAUGUACGGUUUAUUUAUCGAAUA
rnacentral:misc_RNA from 1 species